rnacentral:rRNA from 1 species
GACGAACGCUGGCGGCGUGCUUAACACAUGCAAGUCGAACGGAAAGGCCCUGCUUUUGUGGGGUGCUCGAGUGGCGAACGGGUGAGUAACACGUGAGUAACCUGCCCUUGACUUUGGGACAACUUCAGGAAACUGGGGCUAAUACCGGAUAGGAGCUCCUGCUGCAUGGUGGGGGUUGGAAAGCUUCGGCGGUUGGGGAUGGACUCGCGGCUUAUCAGCUUGUUGGUGGGGUAGUGGCUUACCAAGGCUUUGACGGGUAGCCGGCCUGAGAGGGUGACCGGCCACAUUUGGGACUGAGAUACGGCCCAGACUCCUACGGGAGGCAGCAGUGGGGAAUAUUGCACAAUGGGCGGAAGCCUGAUGCAGCAACGCCGCGUGCGGGAUGACGGCCUUCGGGUUGUAAACCGCUUUCGCCUGUGACGAAGCGUGAGUGACGGUAAUGGGUAAAGAAGCACCGGCUAACUACGUGCCAGCAGCCGCGGUGAUACGUAGGGUGCGAGCGUUGUCCGGAUUUAUUGGGCGUAAAGGGCUCGUAGGUGGUUGAUCGCGUCGGAAGUGUAAUCUUGGGGCUUAACCCUGAGCGUGCUUUCGAUACGGGUUGACUUGAGGAAGGUAGGGGAGAAUGGAAUUCCUGGUGGAGCGGUGGAAUGCGCAGAUAUCAGGAGGAACACCAGUGGCGAAGGCGGUUCUCUGGGCCUUUCCUGACGCUGAGGAGCGAAAGCGUGGGGAGCGAACAGGCUUAGAUACCCUGGUAGUCCACGCUGUAAACGGUGGGUACUAGGUGUGGGGUCCAUUCCACGGGUUCCGUGCCGUAGCUAACGCUUUAAGUACCCCGCCUGGGGAGUACGGCCGCAAGGCUAAAACUCAAAGGAAUUGACGGGGCCCCGCACAAGCGGCGGAGCAUGCGGAUUAAUUCGAUGCAACGCGUAGAACCUUACCUGGGUUUGACAUGGAUCGGGAGUGCUCAGAGAUGGGUGUGCCUCUUUUGGGGUCGGUUCACAGGUGGUGCAUGCCUGUCGUCAGCUCGUGUCGUGAGAUGUUGGGUUAAGUCCCGCAACGAGCGCAACCCUUGUUCACUGUUGCCAGCACGUUAUGGUGGGGACUCAGUGGAGACCGCCGGGGUCAACUCGGAGGAAGGUGGGGAUGACGUCAAGUCCUCAUGCCCCUUAUGUCCAGGGCUUCACGCAUGCUACAAUGGCUGGUACAGAGAGUGGCGAGCCUGUGAGGGUGAGCGAAUCUCGGAAAGCCGGUCUCAGUUCGGAUUGGGGUCUGCAACUCGACCUCAUGAAGUCGGAGUCGCUAGUAAUCGCAGAUCAGCAACGCUGCGGUGAAUACGUUCCCGGG